AACGAACGCUGGCGGCAUGCCUAACACAUGCAAGUCGAGCGCCCGUAGCAAUACGGGAGCGGCGCACGGGUGAGUAGCGCGUGGGAACCUGCCCAGAGGUUCGGGACAACCGCGGGAAACUGCGGCUGAUACCGGAUGAUGCCUGAGGGCCAAAGAUUUAUCGCCUUUGGAGGGGCCCGCGUCGGAUUAGGUAGUUGGUGGGGUAACGGCGCACCAAGCCAAUGAUCCGUAGCNGGUCUGAGAGGAUGAUCAGCCACACUGGGACUGAGACACGGCCCAGACUCCUACGGGAGGCAGCAGUGGGGAGUAUUGGACAAUGGGGGCAACCCUGAUCCAGCAAUGCCGCGUGGGUGAUG
rnacentral:rRNA from 1 species